rnacentral:rRNA from 1 species
GGAGAAAAGCAGGGGAUCGAAAGACCUUGCGCUCUUGGAGUGGCCGAUGUCAGAUUAGCUAGUUGGUGGGGUAACGGCCUACCAAGGCAACGAUCUGUAGCUGGUCUGAGAGGACGACCAGCCACACUGGAACUGAGACACGGUCCAGACUCCUACGGGAGGCAGCAGUGGGGAAUUUUGGACAAUGGGGGCAACCCUGAUCCAGCCAUGCCGCGUGUGUGAAGAAGGCCUUCGGGUUGUAAAGCACUUUUGUCCGGAACGAAACGGUUUGCGCUAAUACCGCAGACUAAUGACGGUACCGGAAGAAUAAGCACCGGCUAACUACGUGCCAGCAGCCGCGGUAAUACGUAGGGUGCAAGCGUUAAUCGGAAUUACUGGGCGUAAAGCGUGCGCAGGCGGUUUCGCAAGUCAGAUGUGAAAUCCCCGGGCUUAACCUGGGAACUGCGUUUGAAACUACAAAGCUAG